UAGGCUGCUAAUACCGCAUAAGCGCACAGAGCUGCAUGGCUCAGUGUGAAAAACUACCGGUGGUAUAAGAUGGACCCGCGUUGGAUUAGCUGGUUGGUGGGGUAACGGCCCACCAAGGCGACGAUCCAUAGCCGGCCUGAGAGGGUGAACGGCCACAUUGGGACUGAGACACGGCCCAGACUCCUACGGGAGGGCAGCAUG
rnacentral:rRNA from 1 species